UUAGGCCCAGAGUGUUGCAGACUUUGUAUUUAUAGACUCUGGGAUAACACACAACCCACACAUCCUGAAAAUGGAACCCAAGUCUAAACACAACGUUUAUUUAUAGUUUAUAAAUGCCUGCUUAAGGCCAGAACAUAAUUUCAUAAGUUUCUGUUGUAACUUUUAGAGUACCUGAGUUUUUUACUUAUUUUUUAAUUUUUAUUUUUGUUUUGAUACAGGGUCUCACAUAGUUCUGUCUAUCCUGAAACUCUCUAUGUAGACCAGAAUAGCCCCGAACUCACAAAGAUCUGCCUGCCUCUGCCUCCCAAGUGCUGGUAUUAAAGGCUCAAACCACAGUACCCAGCAAGAGUGACUAAAUUUUGACUAUGAUCCAUCAGAUGAGGUCAGGUUUGGAAUUUUCCACCCGCCAGUACUCAGAAAGUUUCAGACACUAGGUCAAUCUAGAUUUCAGAUUCUUUUAGAUUAAGGGUACACAACCUGUACCUUUUCUUUUAACAGAGUCUUAACAGUACCCCUGGCUGACCUGGAAUUUUCUAUGUCGACCAGGUUGGCCUUGAACUCAUAAACAUUUUUCUGCCUCUGCUUCCAAAGUGCUGGAAUCAAAAAUGUGAGCCAGCAUGCCGAGCUUGUAACCUGUAACUUUUUGCAUUUCUCUGCUGUUAAUGAAAGCAGCCUGAGUCCAGCCUGCAUAGCUCAAGUUAGUUUAGGUCAGGUAGCAGGGUAGGUUUUGGCCCCGCAAAUGUAUCACUGAUCUCCAGCAUUUCGUGUGCUAAUGGGGAAGGGGUGCUGAAGAGAUGGCUCAGGGACUUACACCAUCAGUGACUGCCCUCUUCUGGCCUUAUUGACAACAGGUAUGCAUGUAAUGCUUAUACAUAAAGGCAGGCAGAACACUCAUAUACAUAAAAUGAGUACAUUUUUUAAAGUUAUUUUUUAAGCAAAUGGAAAUAAGAUUAUUUCCUGGAUACAGUUUAACUAACAUUUAAAAAAACACUGUUUUUCAGCCUAGAAUCAUCAAUUUCUAGAAUAGCAAUUCUAGCUAUAGUUAUAGAUCAGAUACUUUGAUAAAUAAUUUAUAAUUAAAUGGAAAACCCAGUUAUCAACACAGAAAUUGGUCUUGUAGGUAACAUCUUCAAAAUUCAAGGCUUAACAGGGAAUAGCCCAGAGAAGGUAGGACAGCAGCUCUCUGCUCUCAGUCACCCACAGGGACAUCCAUUGACAAGUUUUAAUCUAAACAUUCCUCAAAAUAAUGAAUCUUUAGAAUGGAGUCCUGUGGCUUCAUUUAAAAAUCUAUAUAGGGAAAGAACUGACCCACCCCACAAAAAAAAAAAAAAAAAAAAAAAAAAGAGAACAAAACAAAAACAAAAGAACUAAAGCCAGACUGGAGAUAUGCCUCAGUGGUUAAGAGCACUGACUGCUCUUUCUCUAUCUUGUAGAGGACCUGGGUUCAGUUCCCAGCACCAUAUGGUGGUUCACAACGAUCUAUGACUGCAGUUUUAGAGGAUCUGAUGUCCUCUUCUGGCCUCCAUGGUCACCAGGUAUACAUGUGGCACAUAGACAUCCAUGCAGACAAAACACUCACACAUAAAAUAAAAGCAAAUAAAAUUUAAAGUAAACUAAUUUUAAGAUAGACAUGAUGGUACAGAUUUGUAGUAUCUACCUGCACUCAACAGAGCAUAUCAAGAAGGUUGCAAGUCCUGGGCUGCAUAGCAAGGCACUGUCUCAAAUCAUUAACACAACAAUGAUAGUUAUUACCAUUAUUAUUUUAAAAGGCAAGUAUGUGGGUAGUCAUAAACAGCUUCUAUAAUGGAAGAAGAUCUUGUUUUUACAAAGACUUUCUUACUUUGUGAUGGUUUGAACCAAAUACACUAAUAUUCAGAGAUCAGAAUAGACCAGGAUCAGGUAGCUGAAUUAAACUGGCCUUAAUGUAGCGAAGUUCAGCAAGGGGGAUACAGACAAGUCCAAGUUCUCUAAUAAUAUGUUAGCAGGGUAUAUUAGUCAGGGUUCUAUAGAGUAGCAGAACUUAGAGAAUUAUCUCUUUCAUAUAUAUAUAUAUAUAUAUAUAUAUAUAUAAAAUAUAAAGAUAUAUAAAGGGAAUUUUUUAGAAUGACGCACACACUGUAGUCCAGCUAAUCCAAUAAUAGCUGCCUAUGAACAGAAGGUCCAAGAAUCUAGUAGUUGUUCAGUCUAUGAUGCUGGAUGACUCUCAGCUGUUCUUCAAUAUACACUGGAAUUUCAAAGAACUAGGCUCCAAUGCCAGUGAAGGAAUGAACUUGCUAUUGAGGGCAAGCAAGCAGGCAUAGAGAGAGAGCUUCUUUCUUCCAUGUCAUUGUAUAGACUGUCAGCAGAUGGUGUGGCUCAGACUAGAGGUGGAUCUUCUCACCUCAGAGAUCUGGAAUAGAAGUGGAUCUUCCCACUUCAAAUAUUGAGUAAAAAUCCCUCACAGGUUUGCCCACACAUUUGUUUUAUGGUUAAAAAAGAUUUAGUCUGGGGGCUGGUGAGAUGGCUCAGUGGGUAAGAGCACCCGACUGCUCUUCCAAAGGUCUGGAGUUCAAAUCCCGGCUCACAACCAUCCGUAACAAGAUCUGACGCCCUCUUCUGGAGUGUCUGAAGACAGCUACAGUGUACUUACAUAUAAUAAAUAAAUAAAUCAAAAAAAAAAGAUUUAGUCUUUUGACUACAUUGCAGAUGUAAUCAGGUUGACAGCCAAGAAUUGCCAUCAGCCAUAUCAGGGGGUGUCAGGGCCAGGCCCAGUGUGGUCAUUUUUGAUGUAGGUUCCUCUUGAGACAACAGACAGGGAAGAGCUUCCGUGGAGGGUAAGACUUUCGACUUAUGAGAUAUUUAGAGUUGCUGUAUAAUGAUAUAAAGUUUACUUAUCUAGGUCUAAGUUACUUUGCUACUAUAGCUGUCCUGCCUUCUGUGAUCCUCUGAGGCCAGAAACUGCAGUCUCUGGCACUUAGCACCUCAUCCUAAAACAGCAAAGGAUUAAGUGAAAUAGCCUUUGUUCUAUCUCAGCAGGAACUGCAUGGCUAUAACUUUCAGCCUGCUAGUUGACGUUGCAGGAAGAAAACGGGACACUUUAAAAAGUGAAUUUAGCAUUUAUUUCUAAGUUGUAAAAAGUUUCCUAUAAAAGCUCUCUAAGAAAAAGGAGGAAAAUGGAAAGAUCCUAAGUGGGACAAGGGAAAUUCACUUUCCUCUCUUUGUCUUCAGCACUUAAACAUCUUUCAUAAUACGAGACCACAUGGUAAAAGUUCAUCACAAGUUUACACAUAAAUUCAAACCAUAAAUCAGAUACCACAUUUACAACAGUGAGCAUUUGCACGUGUAUCCAUUAGGAGUAAUCAUCUGGCUAAACAGCUGUCACAGCUCCACAGGUUCAUAGAGAGUUAAAACACAUAACUAAGUUAUUAGUGAAGUUUCAUAUAGACAAACCUAGUCAAUAUUUUAUCUUCUGCCCUAGCACCUAUAAUAAAUUGUUAGUUCCCUUUUUAUGACCUUUGGUUAAUAGUUUUACAAUCUCUUGGAAUGUGCUCUGAGUAGUAGAAGCAAUUAACUGGUGACAGAGACUGGCAGAGUUCUCAGUGCAGUUUUGACUAUCAAAAAGGAUCUCAUAGGCCAGGCGUGGUGGCGCACGCCUUUAAUCCCAGCACUCAGGAGGCAGAGGCAGGCGGAUUUCUGAGUUCGAGGCCAGCCUGGUCUACAAAGUGAGUUCCAGGACAGCCAAGACUAUACAGAGAAACCCAGUCUUGAAAAACAAAAACAAAAACAAAAGGAUCUAAUAGCAGUUCCACU
rnacentral:lncRNA from 1 species